UACGUAGGUGGCAAGCGUUGUCCGGAUUUACUGGGCGUAAAGGGAGCGUAGGCGGAUGUUUAAGUGGGAUGUGAAAUACUCGGGCUCAACUUGAGUGCUGCAUUCCAAACUGGACAUCUAGAGUGCAGGAGAGGAAAGGAGAAUUCCUAGUGUAGCGGUGAAAUGCGUAGAGAUUAGGAAGAAUACCAGUGGCGAAGGCGCCUUUCUGGACUGUAACUGACGCUGAGGCUCGAAAGCGUGGGGAGCAAACAGGAUUAGAUA
rnacentral:rRNA from 1 species